rnacentral:rRNA from 1 species
AUUGAACGCUGGCGGCAGGCCUAACACAUGCAAGUCGAACGGUAACAGGAAGCAGCUUGCUGCUUUGCUGACGAGUGGCGGACGGGUGAGUAAUGUCUGGGAAACUGCCUGAUGGAGGGGGAUAACUACUGGAAACGGUAGCUAAUACCGCAUAACGUCGCGAGACCAAAGAGGGGGACCUUCGGGCCUCUUGCCAUCGGAUGUGCCCAGAUGGGAUUUGCUAGUAGGUGGGGUGACGGCUCACCUAGGCGACGAUCCCUAGCUGGGCUGAGAGGAUGACCAGCCACACUGGAACUGAGACACGGUCCAGACUCCUAAGGGAGGCAGCAGUGGGGAAUAUUGCACAAGGGGCGCAAGCCUGAGGCAGCCAUGCCGCGUGUAUGAAGAAGGCCUUCGGGUUGUAAAGUACUUUCAGCGGGGAGGAAGGGAGUAAAGUUAAUACCUUUGCUCAUUGACGUUACCCGCAGAAGAAGCACCGGCUAACUCCGU